CUCCCAGUAAGAGCCAGACUGGGAGGGAAAGCGCUCCCAAUUCCUUCCUGCUGCUAUCAGGAUCGCUCCCCGUGAUUCCAGUAUCGAUCCCAGUGCCGCCGGCGGCUGAAGCGGUUCAGCUAUACCCCCAGGGCAAAACGCGGCUGCUUUUGUGUAUCGGCACCCGCACGGGCCGGGGUGGGAGCAAAGGAGGAGCGGGAGAGGAGAGAGAGAGAAGGAGGAAAAGGAAAAAGAGGAGAAGGAACAGGAGGAAAAGGACGAGCAAGAAUAGGACGGAGAGAGGAGGAGGAGCUGGAGGAAGAGGAGCACCAGCAGGAACACCAGGAGGUUCCCCGCCUGCCGGCUCAGACCGCAGCUCCCCCGGCUCCGGCUCCAUCGCCUCCCCCGGAACCCGCAGACAAGGAGCUGAGGAUGGAGACCAGGGAGGACAAAUCUCCACAGCAGAUUCUCAUGGAAGAGGCUGUUUUGAGUGGCUCCACGGCGCAGGAAUCCAGCGGGGGGGAAAAGCCCUGGAGAUCCCGCACAAGGAGAGGCAGCAAACGCAGAUCACGGGAAUCGGAGCAUGGAAGAUCCACCCUGGGCCCGGGAGGCAGCUGGAGCUCGAAGCUGGCGGUCCCUGAGCAGCUUCGGGAUGGGGAGAAGCCCCACAAGUGCUCAAAAUGUGGGAAGAGCUUCAGCCAGAGAUCCUCCCUCAUCUACCACUGGAGAAUCCACACGGGCGAACGGCCCUACGAGUGUGGGCAGUGUGGGAAGAGCUUCAGGUCGAGCUCUGACCUGAUCAAACACCAGAGGAGCCACACUGGGGAGAGGCCCUACGAGUGUGGGGAGUGUGGGAAGAGAUUCCGGUCGAGCUCUGACCUGAUCAAACACCAGAUAAUCCACACAGGGGAGAGGCCCUAUGAGUGUGGGCAGUGUGGGAAGAGCUUCAGUCAGAGCUCCACCCUGAUCCGCCACCAGAUGAUCCACACUGGGGAGAGGCCUUAUGAGUGUGACCAAUGCAGGAAGAGGUUUCAGACCAGCUCCAAUCUCCUCUUCCACCAGCAGAUUCACACGGAUGAGAGGCCCUUCCGCUGCCAGGACUGUGGGAUGGGCUUCAAGCAGAACUCCAGCCUUGUCAGACACCAGUGCAUCCACACUGGGGAGAGGCCCUAUGAGUGUCCUGAGUGUGGGAAGAGCUUCUCACAGAGCUCCACCCUGAGUGUCCACCAGAGGAGCCACAGGGGGAAACGACCCUACAAGUGUGGGGAGUGUGAGAAGAGCUUCAUGUGGAGCUCCCACCUGAUUGCCCAUCAGAGGAGUCACACACGGGAACGGCCUUAUGAGUGUCCCAAGUGUGGGAAGAGCUUUAUCCAUAGCUCCAACCUGAUCCUCCACCAGAGGAGCCACACGGGGGAACGGCCCUUUGAGUGUGCAGAGUGUGGGAAGAGCUUCAGGACGAGCUCCAACCUGACUGUCCACCAGAGGAGCCACACUGGGGAGAGGCCCUACGGGUGUGAUAAAUGCAGGAAGAGGUUUCCCACCAGCUCCGAUCUACUCCUGCACCAGCGGAUUCACACGGAUGAGAGGCCCUUCCGCUGCCCCGACUGUGGGAAGGGAUUCAACCGCAACUGGACCCUCAUCACCCACCAGCGCAUCCACACCGGGGAAAAGCCCUACAAGUGUCCUGAGUGUGGGAAGAGCUUCUCACAGAGCUCUAACUUAACCCAGCACCAACGGAGGCACCAUUAAGGAAAGUCCUGUGUCUGCCUUGAGUGCAGGAAGAGCUUCGUGUGCUGCUCCAGCUCCAUCCCCAAUGGGAGGAUACAUGCUGGAUGAUCCUCAGGGACCCCUGGUGGGCACAGCCCUCAUGAGCCAUAGUGCUGGUGAUCCAUGUAGGGAGAAAGCCUGGCUGGGGGCUCCACAUCCUCCUGGCUCCCUGUGGGCACCUGGACACAUCCACAGACCAACAUCAGAAAUCUAUUCUGGGGAGCAGAUUUGCUGACUUCUGACCCCAGAAAAAUCUUCCUUUUUGCAUCUUCUGGUGGCAUCAAGCUACGCUGCAUAGCCUUGGAGGUCUUCAUCAACAUAAAUCCAUUGUUUCAAUUUUCUCUGGCCCACGGGCACCUUCCACAGUAAAUGGGGACAGACUGGGGCAAAACCCAUGAUUGUGGAGACAGUGGGGUGGAAGCCCCUCCAAAAUAGUUUCUUCCAACCCACCCAAGCAUGUGGAUGCUCUGUCAGCAGAGACACACAAAUCCUUUUGUUUUGGCCUUGAAACAAAAAGGUUUCUGUUCAUCCCUUUGGAAACCCUGAAAGUGGGGUAAAAGUAGCGAUGUUGAACUAAGGCAUGGAUGGGCACAUAUGGGGGAAAUUACAUGGGUGGGGCCAUGGGAGUAAAUGGACAUGGGUGGGGACAUGCAUGGGGACAGGAUCAAUGCCACCACCUGUGUCACCACAGUGCCACCAGCACCUUCAUCUCGGCCAUGGCAAAGCGCUGCCCGAUGCAGUUCCUGCCACCGCAGUCCCACUGUCACCACCAUGGUGUCCCAGCCAAAUGUCACCCCCCCACCAGGGCGGGACAGGGAACUUGUUCAACUGGGGACAUGUGUCCCAGAAGCGAGUGACAGCCACCAGUGUGUCCCAGGACUGCUGUCCUCAUGGGAUGCCAGCCACCUCUGGGGACAGACUGGCGACAGGGCAAGAGUCAGUGUCACCUGCAGGGUCACAUGGCGUCGCGCUGGGUGUUACCUGAGGUGUCCUGGUGGCAGCAUCCCAACAGGUCUGGUGACAUUGUCCCCUGAUGUAUGUCCUGAUGGCAUCAUGUCCCCUCCCUCCGUAUGUCCCCAUGCCCUGCUGUGGCUCCUUGUCACCCCUCUGUGUGUCCCUGUCCUGCUCUGUGUCCCUGCCCACCCCGUGAAUCCCUGUCCCCAUCUCUCCUAUGUGUCCCUGUCCCCUUUCGUGUGUCCCUGUUCCCUGCCCCAAGCAGGGCAAAAAUCCCCGAGGUCCUGGGGCCUCAUCCCUCACGGUGUCCCCAUGUCCCUCAGGAUGUUUCUAUGGCUGCUCCUGGCACUGAACAUCUGCGCCCACCCCAGCAGAGGUAGGGACAUGCGUCAUGACACCCUGGGACACGCUGGGACACCCUGGGACAUCCCACAACACUUUUUGGCCUCUGAUUUUGGGUCCUUCCCCCUCCAUUUUGGGUCCAUUACCCCUGUUUUUGGUCCCACAUCAAAUCACCUUAAAACCUCCCCAAAGUUCUUCCCCCGCGAUGCUCCCGCCAUGACAGGUGCCGCAUGGAGGCCAAGACUGCAAUCCCAGAAAUCAGUCAGACACCCUGAAAAUUCAUCAGGAAUCCCAAAAACGCUAUUAGAGACACCCCAUCCCCCCCGCAAACUUGCCACAACAAGGCCAGCAUGGUGGCCAGGACUGUGGCCCCAAAAGUCAGUCAGAAACCACAAAAAUUCAUUAGGGAUCCCAAAAACCCCAUUAGAGACCCCUUCCUAAACUCACUGUGACAAGUCCCACAUGGUGGCCAGGACUGCGACCCCAAAAAUUCAUCACAGAAAAUUGAUCAGGGAUCCCAAAAACCCAUCAGGGAUCUUAAAAUCCUGUGUCAGCAAUCAUCCCAGCGAUCGUCCUUUAAUGAAUUGGUGACAAUUCCGGGGUGCCCCCACUCCCCUCCCAGUAUUUCCCGUGUCCUCCCCUGCCUUGGGGGGUGGCAGAGAUUUGGGGACAUUCCUGGGGACAGCACAAAGUCUGGGGUUGGCUCCCCCCUUCAACUGGGGACCCUAAAUCCACCUGUUCCACACGCAGGGGACUCUGGGGACCCCAAAUCUUCCCCUCCCCAAGUGGCCACAGCGAGCUCCAGGGCGGGACACUGAGACCACCAGGAUCAGACUCGGAGUUCUGGGACCGAGCACCAGGAACCCACCAAGGACCCCUAGAAGGAGCUCUGAGCUCCAGUACAGAGCACCGAGGGCCCCAGGGGUGCCCCUGGCACUACCCCCAUGGCCCCGGGAUGUCUCCCUGCGCCCCACAGCCUGGUCCCAGCAGGUACCGAGCCUUGGGGGGGGGACACACCCACCCUCACCCCAAAAGUCAUCCCCAGGGAGGGAAAUUUGAGGUCCCUCAAGAUGCCCUGGGGUGAGGAGAGGAAGGUUCAGGGUCCCCAGAGGCUCCUGACAAGGGUGAAUUGGGGGGUCUUGGGUGGCUUUCGAGGGUCAUGAGGGCUUUUGGGGGUGAGAUCCCAAAACUUUGGGAGGGUCCCCAAGCCCCAGAUGGGCACUUGAGCCCCAGAGCGAUUCCCUGGGGCUCUGGGGGAGGGGAGGACCCAAAACUAGGGGGGCAGUCCCCAAACCCCUGCCCAUGCAUGGGGGUGCUCAUGGGACUUCCAACAAAGCAUGGGGUAGGAACAGCUGAAAUAUUUGCAUAACCCCAUCCAUGAAACCUCUAAAACCCCAAAAAACACAACGUUUGCAUAACCACCCCAAAAUAAUACACAAAAACAACUGCACAGGGGCCUUCUUACUGCCCACAAAUCACAGUGUGCUAUCGCUCCUGUAUUUAAACAACCGUGCCCUUUGCUUUGGCCCUGCCCAGGGCUGGCUGUAGCCGUGUCUGGGCACUGUUUCCUCCCAGUUCCCUCCCAGUGCUCCCAGUAACAGCAAUACAGGGAGGGAAAGUGCUCCCAGUUCCCUCCUGCUGCUCCCAGCAUCGCUCCCAAUGCUGUGCGGGGUGGAGCCAUUUUGCAACCCCCCCAGGGCCAAGCAAGGCUGCUUUUGGGUGUCCAUACCACCCAUGCUGGGCUGGGAGUGGAGUAGGAGCAGGAAUAAGAGGAGAGGCAAAGGAGGAUCGAGAGGAAGAGGAGCAGCAGCAGAAGGAACACCCCGUGGUUCCCCCGCCUGCCCGCUCAGGUUGCAGCUCCCCUGGCUCUGGCAGCAUCAACCCCUCUGAAAUCCACAGGAUGUCCCAUUCCCAAACCUUGGCCUCUGUAGGAGGAGAAGGCCAAGAGGAAGAUGGCCCGGGAGCCCCAGGCAGGAGUUUUAAAACUCACAAGCCAGAGAUUGGAACAUAAUGUCAAAACCACCUGGACAGAGGAGGGAGGACUUCAUUUACAAUAAAAUAAGCAUGGCCAGCUCGGAGAUGGAUCGCCCAUCAAGGUGGUCCGAGGAGCGCCCAGGCGAUGAAUAUGUGAUAAAUAUCUGGAGAUUGAGUUAACCAGGGCCAUCAGGGAGAUACAUCUCAAUGCCGGAUUCCAGGAACAUGAUCACGGGUGUUCAUCACUUUCUGGAUAUGUUUUGUUCAACUUGCCACAGUGAAAGAACUCCUCAUGAAUACGUGUAGUCCGAAACAGAAGAAAAGGGGCUCAGCCUUGGGCGAAAAAAAGGUAUAAAAAUCGCUCAGACAGGACAGUCGGUGUGGAGCACAGGGACCCUCUGCUGCAGCAGGCAAACCUGUGUCUCACCCAGCGCUGACACCCGGGCUCGGCACUGACCUUUUUUUU